rnacentral:rRNA from 1 species
UACAGAGGUCCCAAGCGUUACUGAGAAUCACUGGGUUUAAAGGGUGCGUAGGUGGUCCGUUAAGUCAGUUGUGAAAUCCCCGGGCUCAACCCGGGAAAUGCUUCUGAUACUGGCGGACUUGAGGCCAGUAGGGGUCACUAGAACUGACGGUGGAGCGGUGAAAUGCGUAGAUAUCGUCAGGAAUGCCGGUGGUGAAGACGGGUGACUGGGGCUGGUUCUGACACUGAGGCACGAAAGCGUGGGGAGCGAACGGGG